UGGGAACGUGCCCUUCGGUUCGGAAUAACUCAGGGAAACUUGAGCUAAUACCGGAUACGUCCGUAAGGAGAAAGAUUUAUCGCCGAAGGAUCGGCCCGCGUCGGAUUAGCUAGUUGGUGAGGUAACGGCCCACCAAGGCGACGAUCCGUAGCUGGUCUGAGAGGAUGAUCAGCCACACUGGGACUGAGACACGGCCCAGACUCCUACGGGAGGCAG
rnacentral:rRNA from 1 species